GGAGCAUCUCGGUGCCGUUUCUCUCCUUUCCCAAGGCGCGACUCGGGCUGCAAGCCCGUGCGUGGCAGGAACGAAGAAAAGACGGGCAGUUCCCAGCAUCCCCAGCCAGAGAUGUAGGAAUGGGCGGGGGAGGGUGCGUGACUUGCCCCCUGUAACCAUACAUCUCAUGCAUGUCCCGACAGGAGAGAAGCUGGAUCGGUUUCAGCGUUCCUGGAAUGCUGGGAGUCCCUAGAGCUUUUGUGGUCUGAAGAGGCAGAACGAGUACCGUCUUUUGCAUGCAUAAGAUACGUCCUGUGUGAACUAGCCUACAACUCUCAGCAGAGACAAAAGCAGGGACGUUUGUAUAGUCAAAGUGAUGGUUUUCCCAGUUGUGUGGCUGUGAGAGUUGGACCAUAAGGAAGGCCAAGGGCCAAAGAAUGGACGCUUUCGAGUUGUGGUGUUGUAGGAGAGAGUCCCUUGGAUUGCAAGGAGAUCAAAUCAGUCACUCUUAAAAGGAAAUCAACACUGAGUGUUCUUUGAAAGGACAGAUACUGAAGUUGAAGCUCAAAUACUUUGGCCACCUAAUGAGAAGGAAGGACUCAUUGGAGAAGACCCUGAUGCUGGGAACGCUGGAAGGCAAAAGGAGAAGGGGACAGCAGAGGUUCAGGCGGCUGAAUGGGGUCUCUGGAGAGUGUUCUUCAACCACCGGUCCACGGAACAGCACCAGUCUGCCAGCAUUUCCUGCCAUCCGUGAAGAGCCACUUUGUGUAUCUCGUUCGCCAGGACCAGCACGGGGCUAGCUGUACUCGCGCUUUCAAUUCCCCUGCCUCUUCUUCAGCAGAGGAGGCCAGGAAGGGAAGAACGGCUCAAUGGGAGCUGUGGCACACCGGUCCGUCCUCUGGGCGAGGGCCUGAAGACCACGCCUUUUCCUUUCUCUGCUGUGUUUUCUACUGAGAAGGGAAAUGUAGAGGCAGGAUUGUGCUGAGAGUGUUUGCUCAGCCAGUCUGUGCUGGUGUGUAUGGGGGUUUGAGUUCUAUUUCAUUAUUUAACAUUAUCAAUAUUAUUGUAUUAAGUAACUUCGUUUGAUUUUGUAUUGCUCUGCUGUUAAUACUGUAUUUCAAUUUGAAUUUGCUAUGAGCGUAGUAUUGCAUUUAUAUUGAUUUUCUAUUUUGCUAUUGCAAAUUUUAAUAUUCUUGAAUUUCCCAGUAGCCUCUCUAAAAAUUUCAGUUGUAUGUGAUUUCAUUUUAUUUCAAUAUUUUAUUCUUUUAUUAGUAUCUUUUACUGCUCAGUUUCUGGUUAUUUUACAGAAUUUUCAGUUUUUGAUACUAUAUGUAAAAACUAAUACACAAAAUACUACAUUAUGUA